UUAGAACUAUUUGUUCCAGUUCAUUGAAGAAUGCUGUUGGUAAUUUGAUAGGGAUUGCAUCAAGUCUGUAUAUUGCUUUGGGCCAGAUGGCCAUUUUGACGAUAUUAAUUGUUCCUAGCCAAGAGCAUGGGAUGAGUUUCCAUUUGUUAAUGUCCUCUUUAAGUUCCCUUAAGAGUGUCUUAUAGUUUUCAGGGUAUCGGUCUUUCAACUCUGGGUUUUUUUAGGUUGGGGUAGAAGUAGCUGGGUCUAAACUAAAUGAGUAAUAGCUGAAAGGAAAGACAAAACGCUCCAAUUGUCUCUGACAGGGUGCCCACAAAACCCACUUUACAGGGGUCGGAGCGGCCCGACCACUGAUCUCCCUCUUGGGGUCAAGUUGCCCGUGAUCCCCGGAAGCAAUAGUUUGUACUGUACAACGAAGUUAAGUGAAAAGAUCCUUAUUGUCACCUUUUGGAAAAUGAGUGUGAUCGUCUCCAUGAUCCACAUCUAAGAGGGUACGUACCAUAGAUGCAGAGAUAUCCUGGGAAGUUUUAAAGAAAGGUGGAUACAUCACCAGCGAUAAUAAAAAACCAGCCCUUGCAGAGAAGAAAAAAAAAACGGCUUAUCGUUUACAAAAAAAUGCAAGAAAAUGGCUUUAAAAGAGAAGAGACGAAAGAAAGCACAUUUGAUCACAGAGGACAAGACGGAACACAUUGUGGUCAUGAUAGAAGAGACAGACGAAUGAUGUGCAAGCAAUUGGCUGGAUUGGGGAACGGUUAAUCAGGAGGGACAUGAAGAAAUAAGUAAAUAUCUUAAGGAUAAAGGACACCAGCAGGGACUUAAAAUGUGAGAAAGAUGAAGACAAGAAUGAAGCCUAUGUUACAGGAUUGGAAUUGGAUACAUUGGUGUAAGCUUCUGUUGCUAAGCUUACAUUUGGAGAUGAAUAAACAUAGAAAUAGAUACAGGA